UAAGCUGCUUUUGAGCCAGCUGAUCAGGACCGCUCUUCAGAAUCACAAUUUAACUGCUCUGCUGCGUCCAUUGUUCCGUGCAUGGAGGCAGCUGCCCCCCUGGCCAUCCCACUUGGCACUGCGGCAGUGAUUAAUAAGGACAUUCUGCAUUCACGGGAGGCCUCUCAGCCAAGGCCUCCGAGUACUUUGCAAGCAUUAAUUAAGCUUCAUGGCUGCGGCUCAGGUACACGGGGGCCCUGGAUUCACUCUCCAUGUCUUUAGCUGAUGCAAGAAGACACCAAGUCUCUCCCCUAGCAAGCCCUGGCCUUCAGCCUGGCCAGGCCCCAGUGGGCAUUCCUCAUCCCUGGGGUUUGACCAGAAUCAUUUGCAGAGAAAAGACUUCCGCUUGUUCUUCCAGACUUCAGAAUAAUAGCCAGUACUUAGAAGCCAUUUCCCAUUUGAGUUAGGUCCAGGCCAAGAGCUCCCUGGCUGGGCGCUACCUGGUGCCCACCCCCUGGCCCAUCUCAGUUAACGGGGAGCCAAUGUAGCCCACAGCUGGCUCCUUCCAGUGUGUUGAAACCCACUGUGCUGUACAUGGGGCCUUCGGGUCAGGCCUGGCCCUGCACCACCUCUGCAGUGUCCCCACCCUUCACUCCUGGUUCUACCCUCAGAUGUCUGCCGCUUGCCUACUGUGGCUCUGACAUCUGGAGCUAGUGCGGAGGUGGGAAGAGACCACAUAACUCAGGGUAGAAAGCUUGGGCUUCUACCCAAGGAUGUGGGGGAACCACAAAAGGGAUGGGCAGGGUCAGAUUUAUGCUUUGAGAUGACGGUUCAGGGAGACAUGUGUGGGAGGUGAGGGAGGGGGAGGCCAGAGGUCGUGGGGCCAAGAGGAGGCCGGGGUGAUGAGCCAGGGGAGCAGGGAUGAGACUCUAGUGGGCCGUGUCAGUGGAGGGAAGGAGCUUGAGAGGCGUUUAGAGAGGAGAUUUUUAACUUUUUAGUUUAUAAUGGAGUAUAGCCAAUUAACAGUGACAGUUUCAGGUGGACAGCAGAAAGAUUCAGCCAUACAUAUACAUGUAUCCAUUGUCCUCCAGACUCCCUUCCCAUCCAGGCUACCACAUAACAUUGAACAGAGUUCCCUGUGCUUUACAGUAGGUCCCUGUUGGUUAUCCAUUUUAAAUAUAGCAGUGUGUACAUGUUGAUAGAGAGGAGAUUGACAGGACUUCGUAACUACCUGGAGGCAGCAUGAGAAAGGAGGAGGAUCCCUAGACGCCCCUCUGGGCUAUCAGAUCCAUUCCACUGGGCAGUUAUGCCCUCCGUGUCCAGCACUGGGCUCAGGGAACUUGUGACCAACUUGGCAUUGUUAGUGCAGAUGGGCUCCCCCAACUUCCCCAGUGAAGUCAUGUCAGAGGGAGCAACCAGACCCAAACCCCUUGCUGUCCCCUCCCAUCUCCCAGGCACCAUCCUUUCUGGCUUGGCCAGGGAUUGAGGCCCAGUACUGAGCACUCAUCCUCCACUCCUGGGCUGUGGACAUGCCAGGCCACCCCUGAAUUGACUCACGUGAGUCUGGGGGUGGGCAUUUGUCCCCCACUUGGCUGAUGAAACCAAGGCUCAGGGGUUAAGUGACCUGCCUACCUGGGCUGAGUGGUGGCCCCUGAAAGGUGUUCAUGCCCUCAUCCCUGAAACCUGUGACUGCGUUACUUUACCUGGUAGAGGGAACUCUGCAGAUGUGAUUAAGUCAAGGAUUUUCACCUGGAGAGAUUACCCUGUGUUAUCCAGGGGGCCCGAUGUAAUUACAACGGUCCUUGUAAGAGGAAGUGGUAACGCCAAAGGUGGCAGAAGGAGACAGGCAGAUAAAAGCAGAAGUGAUGUAUUUUAAAGAUGGAGGAGGGCACCAUCAGCCAAGGAAUAUAGGCAGUCCCUAGAAGUUAGAAAAAGCAAGGAAAUGGAUUCUUCCCUGGAGCUUCCAGAAGGAGCGGCAAACAGCUGACACUGAUUUGAGCCCAGAGCUUAUUUCAGGCUUCUGACCUCUGCAACUGUGAGAUAAUAAAUUCCUCAGCAUCGUCCAAGUACAUCAGAAGUUCCCAGUAGGAGGUAUCGUUUAAUCUGGGCAAGAGAAGAGGUUUGUUUGGAUUCUGCUCAGGCCAACACAAAAUCACAAUCAGCCUCUUUCCUUGCCCAGAACGGGGGAAGCCAUGGGUGCCAGGCCUGGCCCUGGGCAAGACAGAGGGAUGAGCCCCCUGGAAACGGGCCGGAAGAGUGUGGGCGACAGAAGAUAGGAAGGUACUCGGAGGAGGAAAACGAGAAUUUCACCAUUGUCACAGAAGUAUGAGCCCCAGUGGCUUGAAGUGCCGGGCAAGGACCUGAGAGGCGAGGGUGGGGCUAUCCUACCACCAGGGAUCCUCUGCCUGACAGGACCCAGGCUUUCCUCAGAGUGGCCACAGGGACUUCUCCCUGGACAACUUGUCAAAAUCUGCAUGGCCUUGCCAAACCGUGGAUUUAUCCUUCCAGAAGCGUGGAGGGCAUCUGGAACUCGCAUGACUUUCCAGAGGAAACGCAGUGCAGCACCAUGAUCUCUUUCAUCUUCUAUCAUCUUACACAUCAAAACUCCCCCUCCACUCAUCAAGGGACUCUUGCAUAGCUGUGGGCUGAGGCCAGUGCUCCAGAACCUUGGACAGCUCCACUCCUUACGGACUGCUGAGCGCCUUGAGGGAGCAUGAAGGACUUGGGGGAUUUUCCCAGAAGGGCUGCAUUAGUGUGGGGAUUUAGGGAUCCCAAGGGCCUCAGUCUCACUCCCAGAAAGUGUACCAGUGACUGCAUGUUCAGAUUCUUCAACACAACCAGCCCUCCUGGCAAAUUCUGAGGAGCCUCUCCUCCUCAGAAACCCUAUCCAUAAGAGUUACCAAAUCAUCAGGGCCUUUCCUUCUCUCCUAGGAACUCCAAGGAUUUUUUUUUUUCCCUUUUUUGAGCCCAAGAAGAACAAAAAUACCACCCACAUCUUCCUGUAUCCGCUGAUAUUUACUUUGUUUGGCUUCAGUACAAGGAUUAAACCUUCUUGAUUAA